rnacentral:SRP_RNA from 1 species
ACUGGACACAGUGGUGAGCACCUGUAAUCUCAGCUACUUGGGAGGCUGAGACGUAAGAAUCGCUUGAGCCUGGGAGGUGGAGGUUGCAGUGAGCUGAGAUCGCGCCACUGCACUCCAGCUUGGGCAAUAGAGCGAGGCUGUCUCAAANNNNNNNNNNUUUGAGACAGCCUCGCUCUAUUGCCCAAGCUGGAGUGCAGUGGCGCGAUCUCAGCUCACUGCAACCUCCACCUCCCAGGCUCAAGCGAUUCUUACGUCUCAG